UGAAUGGGAGGAUGAAGCUACAAA
rnacentral:siRNA from 1 species